CUGAAGGUGGGUGGAGGCAGGGAGAACAAAGGCCGCCCAGGGAGGCCCGGGCACCUCCAGGUGACAUGGGCCUGCGGCCAGAGCUGCACAGGAAGGAGAACUGAGUGCUGGGGGCGGGUGCAGAGGUGUGGCUGAAGGGGGCCCAGAAGUGAAGAGGGGAGGGCACCCCACUGCGCGCUGUGAAAGCUCUGUGUCUUCUCUCCGGAUCUUCAGUGCAAACCACCCUGCUCUCUCGAAGUUGGCAGGAGAGUUCUUCAGAUCCACAGGAAGGACUUGAGCCUUGCUGCAGACUUGCUGCCGGGUGAACACAGAAGCCUUCCUGAAGAUGGCCCUUAGGGGCUCCUACAGGACUUCUCGGAGGAGGAGGAGGAGGAGGAGGAGGAUGCAGAAGAAGGGAAGGAGCAGAAAGCAGGAUGGAGAGGGCAGACUCUCCGCCAGCAAAGGGGCGAAGGGGAACCGAGCAGGAGUACUGCUUCAGGUGGGCAGCGGACUAUUCACAACAGCCAAGACAUGGAAGCAACCCAAGUGCCCAUUAACUGAUGACUGGACAAAGAAGAUGUGUUAUAUACAUACAACGGAAUACUAAUCAGGCAUAAAAAAGACAAAAUUGUCCCAUUUGCAACAACAUGGAUGGACCUUGAGGGUAUUAUGUUAAGCGAAAUAAGCCAGUGAAAGACAAACACCGUAUGAUUUCACUCACAUGUGGAAGAUAAACACACGGAUAAAGAGAACAGGUUAGUGGUUCCCAG
rnacentral:lncRNA from 1 species